AGGGGGCCUACAAGCUUACCGACCCCAACCAAACUCCGAAUACCAUGACUCCAGAGAACGGCAGUGAGACUGCGGGGGAUGAGCUUCGCAGUCGAAAGGGAAACAGCCCAGACCGCCGGCUAAGGCCCCAAAUUCUAGACUAAGUGGAAAACGAUGUGAGAUUGCCCAGACAGCCAGGAGGUUGGCUUAGAAGCAGCCACCCUUGAAAGAGUGCGUAACAGCUCACUGGUCGAGUGAUCUUGCGCGGAUAAUGUAACGGGGCUCAAGUCUAGAGCCGAAGCCGCGGAUCCACGCUUUGCGUGGGUGGUAGGGGAGCGUUGUAUGUGCAGCGAAGCGGCGGUGGAAACCAGUCGUGGAGCGCAUACAAGUGAGAAUGCUGGCAUGAGUAGCGAGAGAGGGGUGAGAAACCCCUCCGCCGUAAGUCCAAGGGUUCCUGGGGAAGGCUAAUCCGCCCAGGGUAAGUCGGGAGC
rnacentral:rRNA from 1 species